UCCACGAGCCAGAGGGAUUCUGGGAUUGGGCCAAGGUCUUGACUGAAAACCACGAUUAGUUAAUUAGUUGAAUCAGGUGAAGACUGGGACUCCUGGCCUAACUAAAUUCAUCAGAAUAAGCACUGUUUCUCAUCAUCCCUGCUCACCAACAGAGGGCAGCAAAGGACUGACCUUGCACUCACAAUUUCACCUAUUAUGUAAUCAUUGUUCUCACCUGUUCAUUGUUUGUCCGUGUAUUUAAGUUCCUUCCUUUGCUAGGUUUUGGAGCCUCCCGUUCUGUGUUUGCCAUUGUGGAUUUUCCAGCGCCUCUUGUUGUCUCCCCCCUGAGUUCCAGUCCUUUUGUAGUCUCUCUGUACCCGUGUUUAUUUUCGGUACCUGUGGUUAAUUCCCCGUGUUUUAUUUUGUUAAUUAAAUCACCGCUUCACACUUUUUUUUUUUUUUCUCCUGCUUGGGUUCGCUCCUCUGCACUUGGGUCCGCAUCUCAGUCCCAGAACGGCCUGUCCCAGUAAUGAGUCAUCAGAAUGAUGCAGAAGGGGGCGUGUCUGACCGCUGGAGUCGCCGUGCUCUCCGAUGAUGUAGCCGUGCACGCUGCUGGGGUGGAUCCCCAGCCGCUCCCCCAUCAGGAAGCGGAA